AUGACCUCAUUUCUAGACGAACAGGAACCCUCCUGUGUCUGCUGCCAUGGCAACCGCUGCACACUCUCUGUGCAUGUCUCACCAGCAUGACCUGCAUGAGUCAUCACCUGGGUUUCUAUGUCAUACCAAGGUGGAGAUCUUCCUGGGAUGAUGUAUUGAUUUCCCCAAAGUGCACAUGUCUCCUCUGAACAUGUACUUAGCAACGAACUGAAAUGGAAAAGCAAGCAUGUAUGUAAUGCCAAGGUGGAGAUCUUCCAGAGAUAAUGUAUUGAUAUCCCCGAAGUGCACACAACUCUUCUGAACAGGUACUUAGCAAUGAACUGAAAUGGAAGAACAAGAAUGACAAAGAUUUUAGUAAAUUAAAAAUAAAAUAAUAUUAUAACCAACUGUUGAACUGAUUUUGUUUUGCAACUAAUGGUAGCAUGAUACCAACAUUACUGCCCGAAGAGUGCUUCAUAUUUGGAUAUGGAUAUCUGUGCCUGUUAAUUACUUCUGGAAUUUUUAGAGACCCACAGUGAUAUCUUGAGGACAUUUUGUGCCACAGCAGAUUUAACAGUAGGUUAGGAAAAUAUUCGAAUACCAGAAAUUGCAUAAUCUUUGUCAGAAGCUGAAGCUUGAAUCUUGUCUCUUCUUUGCAGAAGAAAUUGCCCAGAAUGACUCAGGCAAAGAUUACCCUUCAAAUUCUGAUGCCUGAAUUUCAUGUGUUGUGACAGUCCCUGUCUGGGAACCAGGAGCCGAAGAUUCUGAUCAAAGAAGAAAAAAAAAAAAUGAAGCAGAGUCUCUGCAGCUGUCCUGCUCCCUGUCAGUACAGAAGUUGUCUUCCUGUAUAGCCACAUGCAGUCAGGCUUUGGGUAUACCCAGGAACAGAGAAGUCCUAGAUUAAGCCAGGAGCCUGACUGAGCAAAUCUGUCCCUGCAGACAAAUGUAUUUGCUUUCCUUGUGUAUGGUUGAUGGAGUUUGUGUAUUCAAAUAUAGAAUUGAAUCAGAUCCAAUCAGGAGAGAGAUCUCAUAUAUAGGCACGGACAUCAAAGCCUGCUGUAAUUUUGCGAUCUACAUCUUUGCUGCUUACCCUGGGUACCCUUAGAGAAGCAGAAAUAUCGAAGGUGGAUGGCAAGAAAAACUGUAUUUUCCUGUUUCUCUAAAUAUUGACCAAGAAAAAAACAAGUCCGUGGAACCCUGGGGACAUUCCUAUUUUUCUGGUUCUUUUGUCCUAUAUUGAAGGAGUUUGGCAGAAAAGAACUGAUUCUUUUUGAGCCCACUGACUGUGACAAUUAUCUUACAAUAUUUUCUGCCUGCUGAAUAAUUGGGAUAUGCCUGGGUCUUGUUGCUGAAUUGCUUCUGCUGUACGCUCUAAUUCAAGCCUCUCCUAGAAAAAUAAAUUCUAAUAGUGCAUCUUGAAAAAAAUGUUUAAUACUAAGUGCAUGCUCUGCCGAUGCCCAGCUCAGUAUAUAGUUAAUUUGCAUGUGGGCUGGAAUGUCUCCUACAUUUGAACAAUAUGAACUGCAAUUCAGUGUUCAAGUGAUGUUUAUAUGCUCUGAAUAUUCGCAGCAAAAAUGCUGUGGUUUUAUAUAUUUACUGUGUGGUUAUUAAUAGGCCAUGACAUUUAUUAACACAAAUAGAGCACUAAGGUGAUUGUGACUCUCUGGAAUAUAUGAAUCAAAGUAUUUCAGUUUCAUAAAUAUCCAGGAUAUACCAAAGAAAACUGAUCUCUAAAGACAGAAUGCAAAUACCAGGAAGAUCAGAGGUCUAGAGGUAUCUUCAAAUACAAGGUCAAAGUGAAAAUUACAGUGACCAUUUUUUUCUUUU
rnacentral:sRNA from 1 species